AUGAGCUUCUGCAGAACUCAUCGGGGACAGGAAGUGAUCAAACCCUCGAGGGCUGGAGCGGGUCUAGUCAUGCUGCUUGCAGUUAAUUAUUUGUCCACCAGGUGGAGCCCAAGAUCCUUGUGCCGUGAGGCUCUGACCUUCUUCAGAGGGAUGGUCUGGAUCCACUCCAUGGUGUUGACGUCAAACACAUCCACAGCAUUCUCACUGUGCACCGACAGGCAGCGCUGGGCCAAGCGGGCCACAUCAGCUCCUGCUGCCGUGACCUUCGACCCUGCGAGUCCACGUACACCCCGAUGGCACUGAAGCACAGCAGCAGCUCCUUGUUGGAGAUCUCCACGGCACACAGAGCGCUCAGGUUCUGCUGUGGGAUGAAGGCCAGGGUGUGGUCCUCAGGGUGGAGCAGGCUGACGGGGGUCGUGUCUCCAUGGAGACUGUGGAGGUCAUCACACCUAAUGAGUCGGGGUCGUUCAGGAUUUCAGGUCAAACGUGCUGAGACUGGAGGAAAACAGACCUGUAGCGCGUGAAGCCGGACUGGUAGCCCACAUACAGGCGCGCGCUCAGCAGACCCAUCCACUGGACCUGCGCCGGCGCCUGCAGCUCCCGCAUGUGGCGGUGGCGAGAUCUACCUCGGUUCACCUGGGAGAACGAGAGUGAGAGUAUCACGUAGAUGUCAGUGAGGCCAAGCGUCUGGGUCACAGCCGCCUCCUCACCUCGUAGCAGAUGAUCUUGCUCUUCAUGGCCACGCAGAGGCAAGUGAGGGAGUUGUUCCGGAUCGGGCCGGAGGCGAUAGCCUGGCAGUUUUUGGUUUCAGCCAGCUUCUGGGACUCGGUCUCACGGCCGUCCAGGGCCUGGGUGGGGAUGAGGCGGACGUGGCGGUUCCUGCCAGAGAUGACCGCCAGCAGCUGCUCCUGGGGGAUCAGGUCGAUCUGGUAGACCUUCUUGUUGUCCCCCACUCGGAUUAUUUCUGAGGAUGGAUGGAGACCAAAGGAAGAUGAGAAGGGUUGCACGAGAGCGGGAACGUAAACAGGAGCACAUAAAGAGAUCUCACCAUCUUUGGUGACGUGAAUGACAUACAGGCCUUCCUCGUUGCCCAGGGCAACACGCUCGUGAUCUAAAGGAAAGAGGACAGCGCUGUGAUUUACUGCAGAUGUGGCUCUCCACCUGGAGCUCUGAAGACCCACCUAUGAUGGCAGCAGACUGGGCGGUCUUGAUCAGCGGCAGCGUGCUGUCGUAGGCCUCCUUGGGGGCGUAGACGAAGCGCUCCUUCAGCUUGUUCUUCUUGAGGAUGCGGUGCAGCUCAUUGAGCAGGCCCACCCACUUGUUCCUCUCCUGGUCGCUGUCGGCCAGGAUCAGGAUGGAGGCCUUGUGGCUGCUGGAGGGAGACAGCUGGGAGGCCGUCACCUGCACACAGAGCAGAGGUGAACAUCUGAGGAGAACCGAUGCAGGUUCUUCUCCAGCAGCACAACUCUUGACAGGAACUCACUCUAAAUAUACACGGGAUGUCUUUGCGACUGGCGUGGAUGACGUCUGAGGCCAGAACAGAGCUGACGGAGAACUCUUCAUCCCUGGGAGACAGAAAACAGUUUCUCCUGAAGACCAGAUCCAGAUGAGUGGUGUUCAUGACCCCGUAGCUGUUGGGUGUUAACUCCUUUAGUCUAACCCUAACACGGAUCACAGCUAACUCUGUGGCACGUGCCGUGCCCCUUUUCAGCCACAAGAUGGCCUCAGUGGCUUUUGCCUCGCCCGUCUCCGGUACCCGGCUGUUGCCCCCAGCUCAGUGAGAAGGUCCAGGGCAGUACAGACUCUCUCCUCCUCGUGUGCUUGGCUUUUUUCUCGUUCGACUUUGGUAUCUGACUCGUUUUGGAAUUUGGAUUUAGGAUUAGACCUUCGAUUUAGGAUCUCCCAGAGGGUUAGGGUUAGCUCCUCCUCCUUUUGUUGUUCAUCCCCCUCCCCUUCUGGGUCGGCGUUCGUCGUAUCCCGUUUGGCAUUCAGCUCCUUUUGUUUUGUAAAGAGAUGUUGUUCAGAUCCUUUGUAAAUAUUCCCUUUUUUAAAUAAAAUCCUUGUAUUUUAGCGACACGGCACUCUGCUUAUUAUUCAACCCACACACUUUUACUACCCCCCCCCAUCGCUCCUGGAGCCGGGGACGCAACACUCUGCCCCCCGUUUACCGAAGUCCAACAACCUGCCAGCUGGAACUCUCCAGAUGAAUGCAUCAGCGUGGGUGCAGACACGCCCAGACUCUAACGACCUGUCUAAAGCAAGCCUGUCAUUGGUCAGGACGCCAGGUCGUCAUGACAUCACAGAAAACGUCUGAUGACAUAAAUGUUGAUCCAUGACUGACGAACAGAGAAACAGAGCUAAGAGGAAACACUGAUUUAGAGGUGGAGGAGAGAGAGGGACGUGCUAGAGACGAUGACGCCCUCUGCUGUCCUGGAGGGGUACUGCGCCGCUACACUCCCCAGACAGCAGAGGUCUGCCUCAGUGCAGGAACCCGAGCUGACGGAGCGUUGAAUCCCACCUGAGGAGGACGCUGACAGCUCAGCAGAAGGUAACAAGAACAAGACAACAUGUUGGAACAGAAACGUCCUCUGAAGCUGAAACGGGCCGGUUCUGGUCCACCGAUCCACAGCAGCUAUAAGCUUUGUGUUAUUGAUGAGGAGGCGGUGUGACGAUCCGGCUGACGACACACAUGGCGGUCUGCUGUUACCUCAUGUCUAUGACCUGACUGACGACCACGCUGGGCUGCGUGCUCUUCCCUUCUCCCAGCUCGUACAGGAAGAGUUUGAAGUCACACACCACGGCCAUCGCUCUCUGCCAACCCUUCUUCACCCCUGUGGGUUUGGGCACCUGCAACAGAAUCACGCGUGACUGUAGACCGGAGCUGGCGCUGGCAAACAUCUGGAAUAUUUUCAAACGAGCGGGUCUGAGGCUUCACUCACCCUCACAAGGCCUUCAUACGCAGUCCCGAUGCCUCUCUGGGGGUCGAUGCCCAGCGGACCCUUGGUCUGAUCCUGGGGAACCGGACACACGGCCGGAGCCUUGUCCGCACACGUGACGUGGCAGGAAAAAUUACACACUACACACAAAACAGAGACCGGUGAGGAGGCUCAACAGCAGCUGAAGGAGACACAUUACGCAACUCUGACUCUGUGCUGCCAUGUGGGUCUCUACGCCUCUGCAAGCUCUACGUUAGGGUCUGCUUCUGGGAAUUGUCUGCCUACACCAGGCCGGCUCUAUAAUUCCCAUCAGUCGGGACUUUUAGCAUGGAACCACCUCUCACCUUCCCUACCCAAGCUGCGAGCCCUGCUGUGUGGCUGCAGGUGAGUGCAGACGCUCACAGCAACUCUGAGAGCGACCCACAACGGGAGCUGACUGGUGAGGAAGUGACUCGGUGCUCUAGCUGUAGAGAAAGCAGGAAUGUGGCCCAUAAUCUUUCCAUUCUAACAAGAGGUUAAUGCCAGCCAAUCAGGGGGUGGGUGGGCGUGGCCAGUGAAGUGACAGAGCCCUGAAACGGUGAGAGGGUCAGAACCGGUUCCCUCUCUGCUUACCUUCACAUGCACAGCCCUGCCGGAUGAGCCCCACCAUGAGCGACGUGCACUGGUUACACUUGGUGGGCGUGUUGAAGGACUUCACUACAAACUGGUGAGCUUUGGGCUGCAGGGGCACAAACCGUCCAUGAAUCAGCCGUUCUCAAAGAGGAGAAGAAGAACCAGCAGAAACAUAUCUGACCUUAGGCGAGGAGCGUCCAACACUUCCAUACCCUCCAGAGCGCAUGGUGGGGGUCUGAACUGGGCGAGCAGGAUGGUCUACCAACUACAGACCAGAGCAGACAAAACACACUAAGCAGGCAGGUCCACCCUUCCAGUUCAUCAGUGACUAAUCCCAGUUUCCCUUCACGCUCCUGGUGACGGCGGUCAGGGGGACCGGAGGUGCACGCCAGGACAGCGGUGGCUACGAUGCAACUCAUCACCAGCAGGUGUAAACAGGUGUAUGUGUGGGUGUAGGACUGUUGUAAAGAGCUUUGGGGGGUUCUAGGGCUCUAGAAGGUAACUGAAACACAAAUGCGCUAAACACCGGUGUUUGACGAGCUAACGCUUUCUGACCUCUAUGGGCUCCGUGUCACUGGCCAUGGAGGGGGAGCGAGACUGGGACUUCAGGUGGGACUUGGAGUCAUCGUCCUUAGACGGCGUGCUGGAGGGGGUGUAGUUGUUCAUCGUGUCCAUGGUGUCCACCUGAGAAGAACAAGGAAGGAAGUUGGAAGGUGGGACAAAAAAGGCAAACGUGGGUGGAGCCAAAAAGAGACGAGAACGUUUGUUAGCCAAACUAAACAUGCAGCACCCGACUAGACUAGACCCUCUAACCGAGUCUGGUCUCCAUGCCAACCCAACAAACCAUGCACACACACACACACCUUACAGAGAUUAGACAAUCACACACAUGCACGCACACACAAUGUGCAGACAAUCACACACACACACAUGCACACACACACGCACACGCACACACACACACACACACACAAGCACGCACACAUGUACACACAGACACACACACACGCACGCACACACACACGCACACACAAUGUGCAGACAAUCACACACACACACAUGCACACACACACACGCACACACACACACGCACACGCACACACACACACACACACACACACACAC
ensembl:lncRNA